UACAGAGGUCCCAAGCGUUGUUCGGAUUCACUGGGCGUAAAGGGUGCGUAGGUGGUGAGGAAAGUCGGAUGUGAAAGCUCCGAGCUCAACUCGGAAAUGGCAUUGGAAACUACCUUGCUAGAGGGUUUGAGGGGGGACUGGAAUACUUGGUGUAGCAGUGAAAUGCGUAGAUAUCAAGUGGAACACCAGUGGCGAAGGCGAGUCCCUGGAAAACUCCUGACACUGAGGCACGAAAGCUAGGGGAGCAAACAGG
rnacentral:rRNA from 1 species